UUUCCGUAGGUGAACCUGCGGAAGGAUCAUUCAUAAUAAGUGCUUUAUGGCACUUUUUUAAAUCCAUAUCCACCUUGUGUGCAAUGUCAGGGUUGAUUUUUCUCUCGAGAGGAUCAACCCCAAACAUCAACUAUAUCUCAACUCUUUGUCUGAAAAAUAUUAUGAAUAAAACAAUUCAAAAUACAACUUUCAACAACGGAUCUCUUGGCUCUC
rnacentral:misc_RNA from 1 species